rnacentral:lncRNA from 1 species
CCCAGAGUUCAUAAUUGCUUAGGUUUUUGCACAUGUUUUAACAUGCCUUUCCGUGCGAGCUUCCGCAUGGUCACACCUGUCAGUUUCUCAGCCUUCUUUUCUCCCUGGAGAAGGUGCUCUGGAGCCCCCAAACGUGUGCCCCGCAUAAGGCUGCCCUUCCGGCUGCCGCGGGGCUCCCGUCCGGGACUUUCCUCUGCCUCCCCCUGUGAUGGAGCUCAUGCUUCUGUAUCUCGAAGCUUCAUCUUUCUGCUCACCACCCGGUCUCAGUGGAGCACGUUCUCUGUAACAUCCUGAGACGCCUUAUUCUGCUCUCGUGUUCCGUUCAGGAUCUGCUUGAAUAUGGAAUCUUGGUUUGGGAAUUAUUUUUACAUAGAAUUUUGUGGGCAUUUUCCCACUCAGUUCUGGUUUCCACGCUGCCGUUGAGAAGUCUGACGCCAUUCAGAGUUUUGAUCCUAUUUUAUGACCUGAUUUUCUUCUCUCUGGAUGCUUUCUUCCUUGGUGUUCUGAAAUGUCACAAAAGUAGGCCUUUGUUCUUUUACUGUGAGGAUAGUUGGUGUGGCCUUCAAUCUGAGGACUCACGGCCUUCAGCUCUGGGAAAGAUUUUGGUAUUAUUUCUUUGAUAAUUUCAUUCUCGUGAUUUUCUCUGUGCUGUCUUUCUGAAACUCCUAUUUGUCAAAUAUUGGGCCUCCUGGUCUCAUCAUCUAACUCUUUAAUUAGAAAAAAUCUCUUCUUGCACAUUUCUUUGAAUUUUUGUACUGCUUUCUGGGAAACUUUAUUUUCCAACGCUUUUAUCUUAAAUUUUUAUUGUUCUAUUUUUAACUUUCAGGCAUUCGUUUUCUCUAAUUGUUUCACGGAUGCAAUAUCUUUUCUCAUCUCUGAAGAUACUGAUGAUGUGGUCUCUGAAGUUCUCUUCUCUUUGCAAAGCUUGUACUUGGACUAGUUAUCUGGUACCAUGUAACAAAUUACCCCCAAGCGCAGCAGCUUAAAACAGCAAAUGUUUUUUGCCUCGAGUUUCUGUGGGCCAGGAAUCUGGUAGGGCCUGUCUGGGUGGGGACCUCUCACGAAUUUGCAGUCAGUGUGUCAGCCAGGGCUGGAGUCAUUUAAGCCGUGCCUGGGGAUGCAGGGUCUGCCUCCAGGCUCAGUCACGUCGAUGGCUGCAGGACUGGGUCCCUCACCAUAUGGGCCUCUCUGUAUGGCUACUUGACGUGGCACUUGGCUUUCCCCAAAGUGAGCAAUGGGAAGGAGAGAACCAGGAUGGAAGCUGCAGUGUUUUUUGGAACCUAAUCUCAAAAGUAACUAUCAUCUCUUCUGUCAUAUUCUGUUGGUCUCGCAGACCAACCGUGGUGCAAUGGGGGAGGGGUCGGCACACGCGCAUGAGUCGCGGGAGGCCACCAACUCAGAGAAGGCUGGCUACCACCGCACUUUUCUGAAUUUUCCCCUGUUUGCUGUUUUGGUCUCUGUUGUCCAUGUUGGAGGUCUUUCUCAAAUGUCGGGUGCUCUCUGUCCUUUCAUAUUUAAGCGUGAAACACACAAGCUGUCUGGAGGCUGUGUGGACCUGCCUACGGGUGGGUCGGGGUGGUUUGAGCAGGAGGAUUUUAAGGGCCAGGACUGGAAGUGGCUCGUGUCACUUCUGCCCACAACCCAUUGGCCACAUGGCUCCAGCCUACUGCGAGGGAGGCCGGGAAACCAUGGGGGCGCACGCAAGCUCGGGGAGCAGCCCAGACCCUGUGGAAGCCACAUCGGCGCCUCUGGGGGAGCCCUCGAGCCCCAGAAUCAGGAGAAGCAGCCAGCGCCCUCCCAGCUCCAGCCUGGCGGGUGGACGGGUCCCAUGGUGAGGGCGUGGAGGGGUGCCCGCAGUUUGUGGGGCUCGCUGGGCAUUUGAAAUGCACAGUCUCUGUAAGAAACUCUGAGGUGUGGCUACGCCUGUCCCCAUUUUGCUGCUCAGAAGUUUGGAGAGGUCGGUAACCAGAAAGCAGAAUGCAAAGCCAGGCCGCCCCCUUGCACACCUCCCCCGCUGGAUUCUUGUGUGAACUGUCUCGGGUGGACAAGGGACGUUUGUGAGUCUUGACUGCCGGCCUGGGCUACCACCAGCAAGGCCUCCAUCUCUGCACAUGAUCCUCACUCCAGCCUGUCCAGUGGGCACGGUUCCUGGGUCCCUCUCGGCCAUGAGAAGAGCUCACCUCAGACGUCCCUGACGACACCCAGGGGUCCAUCCAGUUAGCAUCACCCUGCCCUGCGACGGCCUGUGUGCUGACUCUAGAGUCGGUUUCUCCUGCGGGACGAGCUCUGCCAUCGGCCGCCGCACCCCUCGUGGUUGGCGCAGACCUGCUGCAUAGACACGUGAACGCAGGGGCGGGUGACGCGUGAGUGAUGCUUGUGUGAGUGUGACGACUGAGUGGCUUGCCCGGUCACCAGUCCCUCAGCAGUGGCGCCAGGAUGCCUGGGGAGCAGGGUGGGGCCCCCUCCGACAGGUGGGUCUGCCCCUUGGGGCGGUGUGGUUGGCUCACUGCUCUGCACGGGUCGGGAGGAGGGUCCUAGCUCAGAUGCUGUGUGAGGAGUCCCCUAGGGGUGGGGCGCCUGGCGGCCCGGGCAGCCUGUGAAGACAGGAACUCGAGGGUGGAGGCGCCCUGUCCCCACUGAGAAUGCAGACGGCUGUACCCGACUCAGCCCCCAGCCCCAGGUGGGCUGGAGGACCCCAUGAGUGUGGGUCAUCUGGGGGCAGCCUGGGGUGUAGACCCUUCAGCUGUGGGAAACCUAGGCGUGGCCCUGGGGGGCUUGUGGGGAGACCUCUGGGCGGGCUCUGUCUUUGGGGCUGGAGGGAAGUAAUGGAAGAGGUUGUGGGAUAUUGUAAUAUUGUGUUAAUAAUGUGCAUUCUGACUGUGGCUCAGGGAGAACCUGUUUCAUACUGAACACUAUUUUGGGGUGGGUGGGUUCUUUUCUUCUUCUUUUUUUUUUUGGUGAGGAAGAUUUGCCCUGAGUUAACAUCUGUGACAGUCUUCCUCUAUUUUGCGUGUAGGACACCACCACAGUACGACUUGAUGAGGUCCAUGCCCGAGAUCCAAUCCUGAGAACCCCGGGCUGCCAAAGCGGAACAUGCUGGACUUAACCAUUACGCCACGGGCUGGCCCACUGGGCGGGUUCUGAGUUAUGAUAAUUUGAGUGGCAUGUACUCCCCCUUCCUUCCGCGGCUCCGAGUGGGCUGCCCGUUGCCCUCGCCAUUGCCCUCUCCUUUGGGUCAGCCCCUGGCUCCUCCCUCCUGAGUGCACCAGAAGAGGUGGGCCCACCGCUGAGUACGGGCUUCCGGGCCGUUCUGCAGGUUCGGGGAGGGGUCUGCACGGCUCCGACAGUGGAGCAGUGCGCGGGGCGUGCAGAUCUCCCUCAGUGCUCCUUUUCCGAUUGUCACGUGUGCGGGGGUGGGGGCCAGGUGGUCCAGCAUGGGGCGGAACAGAGGAAGCCACCACGCAGCCUGUCUUUCCUUCAACAGCUUUAUUGAGAUACAAUCCACACACCACACGGUUCACACGUCUCAAGUGUGCGAUGCAGUGGCUUUUAGUACAUUCACGGAGUUGUGCAGCUACCACCACAGGAGGGCCUGGACCAUUCCAUCACCACCAGGAGAAACCCGUGCCCUGUCGCUGUCACUCCCCAUCCUCCCCUCCCCCAGCCCCUGGCCACCGCUGAUCUACUUUCUGCCUCUGGCUUUGCCUGUUCCAGACAUUUCCCGUAAAUGGAAGUGGCCCCUAUCUCGCCUCAAUUUCCUGAAAAACAGUUGGGGGUUGUCUCUGCUCCUCUCUUGGCCCCGCUAGUCCUCCCCUGGGAGGCCUCCACUCAGGACCAUCUGGGGAGGAGGGGCCGGCAGGAGUUGGGGGGCAGGGUGGCCCAGGCGAAUGGUGAGCAGCGCGGAUGGUUGAGGAGCAGACUGAGGUCGGGGUGGGUGAGCUCUUGGAGCCUCCCUGGCCUGGCCGGUGCCGGUCUGGGGGCCCACUUCAGCUGGAGGAGGCAGGGCCGGUGCUGGUGGUGCUUUGCGGUCUGUGCCCCUUUGCUGCCCUUGCGGGCCGUCUGCACGACCCGGGGCUCCUGAGGCUGCGGGAGGUGGCUGGCUGCUGACUCUGGGCCGAGACUUGCUGGCAUCUGCGAGCGACAGCGUAGGGAGAGGCGGCUGUGUUUAGAAAUAAUCACUCCGUCUUGCACAGACGCAUUGAGGUGUCCUCCCCUGCAGUUGCAGGAAGUAGCUCGAGGCGUUGCCGAUGGAGCAGCCGUGACUUUGCUGCCGGCUUGUCCUGCUCCCUUGCAGACGUGGGGCUGCGGUGGCGCGUUUGAGGUCCGCCCCUGCCGCUGGAGUCAGAGCUGCGCCCUCUCUCUUACUGAGUGCUGGUCCACGUAUGACGGACGGGUGACGGAGUGUUUAUCCAGCUUCCUGCUGAGGGACACCUGGUUGUCCCCAGUUUUUGGCGAAUGUGAGGGAAGCUGCUAGGAACGUCCCGGAGGACAUGGUGCUUGGGCCCUACAACGCCCGGAGGAGCUGCCGGGAUGCCGAGCGCCUUGCAAGGGAACCGGAGCCAGAGUGAUGGGCGUCCUGGGGGCUCCUGGUGUGGAAAGGGCCUCUGUCGGCCGCCUGCUGGCAGCUGCUUUGUCUCCCUCCACUGGUUCUCUGCUCUGACUCCAUUUCUAAGGCUUUUCUUAAAUCAGCCCCUGGCAGGUGAGAUGGCUUGGAGUUUUAUGAGAUUUUACACUCCCCAGAGGUGAAUAAUAGGGACUUUUCAUCACUGAGUUUCCUGACAACACCUUCCAUUGAACCAUCAAUUUCCGAACAACACCUGGGAUAUGCAAACUCUGUUUUCAAGCACGUCCUGGGGCUGGGAUACGUGACAAGAGGUGGAGGGCGAGUUUCCUGAGAAAAAAAUCAGCCGUGCGUUUUGGGUACAUAAAAGACAGGUUGAGGUUUCUUUUCAUGGGAAGGAGGUGGGGGGACUGAGGGGGGAGAUAUUGAAACCCACCAGCCGUGAAAGAGUGGAGAGAGGAGAGAGCAGGAGAUGAAGAGGAGAAAGUGAAGUGAGAGGGAGAACGAGCGAGAGAGCGAGCGGGAGACGGAGACGACCGGCUAAUCAAAGAGGCAGGUACAGGAGGUGAAAUGCUUUCACAGGAGGCGCAGGAGGGUCUGUCUCAAUGGAGGAUGGCAAGUGGUUGUGGAUGCUGUGUGAGUCUCCGACAACAUGCGUCACACUGCUGCACACAAACCGUUCACGUCUGUGCUCACUGGACGUCGGUUCCGGGCCCAAGUUGGGGCCUCUUGCCACCCCCUCUACCUGGCCCCAUCUGCCUACCAGGUGGGGACCCCUCCCCCGUUAGGCGAGGCUUUGUCACGAGCGGCCAGUUCCAGCAGGGGCGGCCACCCCUCCUCCCCUCACCCCUGCCCAGGUGGCUGCUGAGUCCAGGCAGCAAGCGCUUAAUUGAGAGACAUACGAACUGGAGGAUGUCAGGAGGGUGGGAAAGCAAGAUGCCCAGGGCCUGGGCCCCAGGAAGUAAAGGAAGCAGAGAGAAGAGCGGGAUGAGAGAACCAAGUCUGGGCGCCCUUCCUGCCCCUGGGGUCCUCCUCGCUCUCGGGAGGCCCCUCCAGCUUCCGUGGCUGGGCCGGGCUGUUGGUGGACCCAGCAGCAGAAGGAGGGCAGUAAGUCGUAGCCGAGGGAUGGGGCAGCCAGAACGGGUGAGGCUGCAGUGAGCAGAGACCUGGCCGUAGCCAGGAAGGAGUCCAGGGUCUGCAGGGGAUGAGUUGCGAAGCUCAGCCCUGGGCUGCGUGUGGGAGGAGCUGGCGUCCAGGUCCUGGUGAUGCUGAGCUGGGCGGGGCCCCCCUUGCACCUGGAUUUGAUAUGAGUUACAGAGGAUGCCUGGUUCCCUUAUCUACCAACGUGUGCCGUUCAUGCUGUGGGCACGCAUGUGGCUUGCGUCAGCUCUAUUUCUGGCCAUUUCAGUUCUAGUUUUCUCCUACACACAUUGGUGCAAACUGGGGAACAGAAAGACGUUUUCUGCUCUCUAACUCACGUUCCCUACAAAAUGGUGUUUCCUGGGAGUAGCUUCUUGUGGGCGCGUUCUCCAGCAGAGACGGGCUGGCUUAUAAAGUGAGACUCCAGGGACACUGGCUGUGUGGCAAAGAACUUAACCUUGUCUAGGGAGAGGUCUGGCCUUUGCCUUCAGCCCUGGAAGGUAAUCUCCAAACCCUUGGAAGGUCCUGGUCUCUGUUUGCCUGGGGGCUCUGGGUCACACUGACAAAGUGAUUUAAGGUGGGGCUCAGGGUCACGUGGUAUCAACUCAACCUCUAGAGGAGCUGGAGACCGAGGUCAGCCUCCUGGGCACCAAACGGGCCUCCUUGGUGAACCCCAAUAAAGGCUCUGGACACCAAGACUCGGGGACCUUCCUGCCUGGCAAUGCUCCGUGGGUGUCGUCACACAUGGAUGCCAGGGAUGCGAUGCUGUCCUGACUCCAUGGAGGGAGCAAAACAGAAUCCCUGCAUGUUGUAUUUUCCUGGGCUCUUCGGUUGACUUUACUCCACGUCUUUUCACUGUAAUAAACCAUAACUGUGAACAUAGCAGAUUUCCUGAGCUCUGUGAGUCCUGCUAGCAAAUUGCCAAACCUGGGGGUGGUUUUGGGGACUCUCGAACCUGCACCUGGUGUCAGAAGCGAGGGUGGCCUGUGCAUGGUUUCCUGACUUCACACGGGCACCGUAGGGUGUUCCCUCGGUCUCUGCACCCCCUCACUACUCCUGGCCAACAGUAGCUCUCCAGCUCAUCUCCCUGUUUCCUCUCACCCAGUUUGUUCUCUCGCUGCAGCCAGCGUGAGCUUUUAAAACCGCU